UCUUGCUGAGAGGGGUUCUGCAAAUUCCAGUUUUCUCUGUGUGUGCCCUUUUUUGGACUGGCAUCCUGACAACUGGCUGCCUGGCCUACCCUUCGUCUCUAAUUCUAGUGGUGAUCACUGGCUGUACAGCAGGCUACAAUGUCUGGCACAUGUGUAUACAUGAAGGAGAGUUUUUCUCUUUGGCAGUGUGUGUUAGAUUGCUUUGUUUGAGGGACAUUCCAGCUAGUGAUGUGGAGGAGCAUCACCAAAGAAAGAAAUGGGUUUAUUUUAUAACCGAUCUCACUGUAGCUUUGUAGAAACCCUCAAGACAUAGAUGAGUUUAACUCAAAGACUUUUCUACGAGAAAACAAGCCUUCUGAAAUAAGAGGUAAUUGUUUAAAUUCUCAUUCUUCUUCUUCUCUCUCCCUAGUCUGAUGAUGUUGACCAGAACCUUCUCCCAUUGAAUUAAAUGUCUGAGACAGUCAUGUGGGCAAGCUCUCAGUUAAUACACAACAAAGAACUGUAGCCACAUAUUGACACUAUGUAAUGAAAGGCUGAUGGAAACACAUUCUAGUGAGUGGCAGGAAAUCGAAGACAUGAAGCAAAAAAGAUAUUAAAGAGUUUUUGUAUCAGAGAUAGUAGAAAAUGACGAAUUACUUUUUGGAGUUAGGAUUUUCAAAUAACAACUUUCUGGACAAUUCUCAUUCUUCUUGGUGAAAUAUUCUGCUUUACAUUUUUUUAAUUUUGGAGGUCAGACUAUUUUUUAAGAGCAACAAAGAAUAUUAAAUUGUAAGCAUAAGGGGAAAACAUUUUAAAACAACAAAUAGAUCUGAAAUUUCACUUUCUUAGCAUAUUAAUAUUUCCCCCCAUCUUGUCCUUGUCCAUAUGUUCAUAUUACUUGUAUAUAAAUAUUAUGU